rnacentral:rRNA from 1 species
GACGAACGCUGGCGGCGUGCCUAAUACAUGCAAGUCGAGCGAAUCGAUGGGAGCUUGCUCCCUGAGAUUAGCGGCGGACGGGUGAGUAACACGUGGGUAACCUGCCUGUAAGACUGGGAUAACUUCGGGAAACCGGAGCUAAUACCGGAUACUUUCUUUUCUCGCAUGAGGGAAGAUGGAAAGAUGGUUCUGCUAUCGCUUACAGAUGGACCCGCGGCGCAUUAGCUAGUUGGUGAGGUAACGGCUCACCAAGGCAACGAUGCGUAGCCGACCUGAGAGGGUGAUCGGCCACACUGGGACUGAGACACGGCCCAGACUCCUACGGGAGGCAGCAGUAGGGAAUCUUCCGCAAUGGACGAAAGUCUGACGGAGCAACGCCGCGUGAGCGAAGAAGGCCUUCGGGUCGUAAAACUCUGUUGUUAGGGAAGAACAAGUACGAGAGUAGCUGCUCGUACCUUGACGGUACCUAACCAGAAAGCCACGGCUAACUACGUGCCAGCAGCCGCCGUAAUAC